rnacentral:miRNA from 1 species
AGUGUUGAUGUCAGGUUGCUUCU